CCAGUUGUCUGUUGACAAACGUGACCCAGGAAUAUCUCUGCAAUUUCGUCGCUAAGUGGAAUAACAAUGCAUUUUACCGGGAUUUCCCCAACGUUGUGAGGUGUGAGGUGGAUCCUUAAUGAAGUUUUGAAUCCGGUCUAAACUGAAACCAUGCUGAAAUGGUUUUCCGCUGAAGAGGGAGAGCCUGGAUCUGCAAGUCCAGGCUCUCCCCGAGGAGCUCCUGCUGGAGGAGGAGGAGGAGGAGGAGGAGGAGGAGG